AUUAACGCGGGCGCGCGGGGACCCGGUCCAAGUUUGGCUCCGCGGCGCCGGAGCACCUGAAGAUGGAUAUUGUCCGCUUGGUGCCAAGACUAUUUUGAGCGACCGAGCGGCUGGCCGGUCCCUGGGCCACCGCUGCUCAUCCUUCUCUUCAGGAGGAGGAGAGGACGGACGGACGAAUGGGCAAAUGAGGAAAAGCGCGCACGUCUGCACCUAAUGCUCUUUAUUAAUAGCCUAAAGCAACAGUUGUGGCUGUGCAUGAGCAGCGUAACAGGCACAAUGGAGACACAUCUUUAUUUCUCCAUCUUCUUUCUUCCUUCACGUCUGGUCAUGGAUAAGAAGUCAGUCUCGUCAUCUUCUCGUCUCUCCUUCCUAUUUUCUUUGCGCGUUGGAUCCAAGAGCUGAGACGUAAUCCGCAGCGCCGUUGAAACACACGCAGCCCCCCAUUCAAACACACAUCACCUGCCUACCCCCCCCAAUCUUUGCGGACAGAGUCGUAUCCUGGAGAAGUUUGCGGCGCGCGGGCGUACGUGUGGCGCAUUGGUCGGCUCCGGUCCGCGCUGAAAGGAACGGAAGGCGGAGGGACGUCGUGCGCGAACUCCCGCCGGAUGCGGGGACUCUCCACUUGUCGGACGCAAAGACAGAGGGAUGCACCCGCAUCCACGCUGACGGCGGCAAGCGGAGCGCAGGCGGAAUUGCACUUUUUUUUUGGAUUCUCGGUGUAUUCGGGAGGCUUUUACGCAGCGCAAGGAGUAAGGAAGACGCUGCGGAGAUGAGCGUCGCGCGGCCGCACACGCGCCCGGCGGAUUCCCUCUCCUGAUACCGGGACCAGAGAGGACAGAACAACGCGGCCCAUGAUUUUUUUCCAGAAGAUCGCAAAGGUGGAGCGAUUAGAGAAGGGCUGAUGACGGGACUAUUAAUCCUUUCAGUGCAUCAAAAGCACCAAAGGGCAUUAGAAACGUUUGGAUGGAAAUCGGGCGAGUGUUUGAAACUGUUUUUGGUUUUAUAUGAAACUGGCGAUUAGUUUCGGUGACCGAAUUUGAAGGAUUUCUCUUGAACUACGGAGUGCAUUUGCUUGGCACGAGCGGUCCCCACGCGUGAAUUUCCAAAAACUCUCAUCUCGAUCUGUUUUUUUUUCCUUCCAAGUAUUCCUGAAUCUAAAUGGAAUUAGUUGAGUCUGAAGUCGUUUGUGAAAGGAACAGACAUGGUUCAUGGGCAGAGCUUCCUUCACGUUGUUGCAGGUCUUCUCGUACUGGGCUUGUCUGGGGCAACCAAAAAGGACACAGCAGUGAAAAACAAUUCUGGAGUGAAGCCUGCAGGUCAAUGUGGAACGUGGGUGAAAGAACCAGAAGGAGGACUCUUCACUUCUCCCAAUUACCCAAACAAAUACCCUCCAGACACAGAGUGUGUUUACAUCCUUGAAGCGCCUCCGAGGCAGUGCAUCGAUCUCCGCUUCGAGGAGAACUAUUCCAUCGAGUCCUCUUGGGAAUGUAAAUUUGACAACAUCGAGGUUCGGGAUGGACCCUUCGGCUUCUCCCCGCUGCUGGGGAGGUACUGCGGGCAGCACAGCCCGCCCGACAUCAGGAGCAGCGGCCGCUACCUGUGGAUAAAAUUUGUCACCGACGGCGAGCUGGAAGCGGUGGGAUUUUCAGCAAGUUACAACUUCACUGCAGAUCCGGACUUUGCAGACUUGGGAGUACCCCCACCGCUGCCCUCCUGUCAGUAUGACAUGGUUGGUCCCGAGGGCAUCGUCGAGUCUCACCAGAUCACCAGAGACGGGAAGGCCGGUGCUGCUGAGGCCAUCGACUGUAAAUGGUACAUCCGUGCUCCACCCCGUUCCAAGAUCUACCUGCGUUUCCUGGAUUAUGAAAUGGCCAAUUCCAACGAAUGCAAGCGCAAUUUUGUGGCAGUCUAUGACGGCGGCAGUUCGGUGGAAGACCUGAAGAGCAAGUUCUGCUCCACGGUGGCCAACGACAUCAUGCUGGUCUCCACGCUGGGAGUCAUUCGCAUGUGGGCGGACGAGUCCAGCCGCAAAAGCCGCUUCCGGAUCCUUUACACAACGUACCAAGAACCUCCAUGCGAUGCAGAUGCCUUCUUCUGUCACAGUAACAUGUGCAUAAACAACACACUGGUGUGUAACGGCAUGCAGAACUGCGUCUACCCCUGGGAUGAGAACCAGUGUAAAGAAAAGAGAAAAGCCAACAUCCUGGACAACCUGAACAACACGAACGGCACCAUCAUCGGCGUCACCUGUUGCAUCGUCCUCAUCCUCCUCAUCGUCUCCGUCAUCGUCCAGAUCAAGCAGCCGCGCAAGAAGUACGUGCUGCGGCGCGAGGACUUCGACCCCACCAUGUUCCAGGAGGUCUUUGAGCCGCCUCACUACGAGCUGUGCACUUUACGGAGCGCCACCACGGCCGCGGCGGCCUCCGCCGACCUGGUGGACCUGGCGGAGGACUUCGAGAACUACCACGCCCUCCGCCGCGCCUCCUCGCGCUGCGUCUACGACCACCACUGUGGCUCCGCCUCCAACCCCGGCUCCGCCCACAUAUCCCAGCUGUCGCUGAGCGGCCGGGGGAGCCGCGGGAACCUGAGCGGGCGCGACGCGGCGGCCGCCACGCUGCUCGCGGACUUCCCGCAGCCCCCGAUGGCGGUGCGGCCGCUGCUGCCGGCCGCCGGGAACCGCAGGAGCAUCCUCGUGAUGAAGCACAGCUACUCGCAGGAGGCGGCAGACAACGGGUGCGACCUGGACGAAGACCUGGAGGACGUUCCCACCACCAGCCACCGGCUCUCACGCCACGAAAAGGCAGUGCAGCGGUUCUGCCUCAUUGGCUCUUUGAGCAAACAUGAAUCAGAGUACAACACAACUAGGGUCUAAGAGACAAUCUCAAGGUAAGCACUCUUAUCCAACAAUCGACAUCUCUACAUGUUGUGUGGUCAUCGUUUGCUGUGUCAGUAUAUACUUUUAUGUGAGUCGAUUUUCAUUUUUUCCAGUGGUUUGGCCUUUGUGUUGUUGCUUGCAGCCAUCUUGCCCUCCGACUGGUUUUAUUUGUGAUGCUCUGUGAGUUUACUGUAUGUUUUCUUCCUGAAGACAUACAUACUAUCACUCAGUGGAUGUUCAUACGCAUGGAGGUUUUAUUAGAUUCACAUUUAUUUUGCUGUUAUGAAUUCUAUGUAACCUCUCCCUGCAGCAAAUAACCUGUAUCAAUAAUGUAAAAGCACAAAUUUGAUAGCAAACGCAAUCCCAGAUGUUUUCUAUUAAAUUGCAUCGGCGGGAUUUUUGUAAACAUUGGUUAUGACCACUGACCACUAUCUUCUUCCCCUCUGUGUAAAUUACAGUUAUGUUUACAGAAGCCCUCUGUAGUUUUGCAUGAUUUAUGUCACUUUUACCAUUUGGUUUCUCAGUUCCGUUGAUUGUGAUGCACUGUAUUUAUGCUCAUGUGUAACAUUUAAUGUGCAUGCUCCACGACCGUGCAUUUGUGAGGUUGCCGUCUGUUUGGUAAUGCAGCGUUUUCUACGUUCUAUUAAUUAUUAACAGAAAGUAUUGGAGUGUUUGCAGCUUGAUGUCUGCAUAAAGUGGAGCUGUCACAUGAAGUGCUACCUGCUGUUUGUCUUUUAGCGUGACAACUGUGCCGUCCUGUUGUAUGUGCGUCUGCUUAUGUUCUGCGUUAUGUUGCAUUGUCUCCAUCAUGUAGACUUCUUGAGAAUAGUGCAAUCCUGGAUCAGUACGAACGGGCGUCACUGACAUAUGAGAAAGCGGAGCGGGGAUUUACACCAGCAUGACGCUGAUGAUGAAGGGACACCUUGUCAAAAGCGUACUGAAUAUGCAUUCUUGUGCAAAGAUGAACACAAAGGACAAGAUGAAUUUACUUCAGCUGCAGCGCUUUAAUGCGGGAAGCUUUUAAAGUUCAGUCGAGGCUGUUGCUCUGUACUGUACCAUAGUCGAGAUGUUUUGAAUUGAAAACCUAUGGACCUUUAUUGAUUCUUGAACUUUAAAUCUGAAAUAUAUUGGUUAUUGUCAUAUAUUCUUUAUUAAUAGCAAAGGUAAUAGAACUAACAAGUUAAUUUUAAGCAUGUUUUUGUCACUUUAGUAGCAUAUUCUAUUAUGAUUUUAAUAGCAAAUGUAGCUGCUUGACAUUUUUCACAAUGAAAACAUUUGUUAUUAAAUAAAUUUAAAUUAAAAACUAACUAAACUAAUUGAAUGCAAGUGGACAAACCAGACGUUUGUUUAAUUUGAACUACAUCUGAAAACUAUAUGGCUAGUGCAUGCUUAUUAUGAACAUACUGACAUUAAAUUAUGAAAGGCUUCCAUCCACUAACGAAUCAGCCAUGUGGACAUAAGAUAGACAUAAAGACUCAUCUUUAAAAUGAAUAACUGCAUUGCAUGAGUUUUAUUAGCGAAAUCUUUAGAUUUAGAAGAAAAUUGCACCUAAUACAUGUAACCACUUUGAUUUGAUUUCAAACUCUUUCAGAAAUGUUGACAAGUAUUUGACAGUUACAAAAUUCUGUUUUGUUGACAACAACAUUUACUGUAAUCUGUUCCUCUUCUAAGUCUCUUCUAUUGCAGAAGCUUUGUAUUAAAACUGAAUUUUAUACUCACAUUUUAAAAGGAAACACCAUUUUUCAUUUACUCAAACUUUCUUGCAGGGCUGAUUUUUCUAAUGCUUUGUAACAAUUAUUAACAAUAAACCAUAAACAUUCUUGAUUGCUUUAGUGACUUAGAGGUUUAACCACUAAAAGACUGCAUCAUAUAUCCAGUAAAGCAGAUAUAUACAUAUACAAUUUACACAUAAGCACCAGACACUGCUUCUUUAUUUCUCUCAGUCAUUGUCCUAUUUUUCUUACUUGUGUCACUUAUAUGGUAUCUUCUGGUGUUUGUAGCUUAUUUUUCUGUAUGUUGUGUAUUAUGUAUUAUUUGCGGCCACGCUCUUCAUUCAUUUUUCCUUUCAUUGUCAUACAAACAUUCACAGACUCCUGCAAAUAUUGAAUAAAAUAUACAUUUUCUUUUCUAGACAUAUGUUGUUGUGGUGUGUGUUACAUGUUCGGAACAACUCACACAUUAACCCGUCUGUCUACAGUAGCCAACAUAUAGUACAUAAAUGGAAGCAGACACCUCAGGACUGUAAUACAUCAAAAACGUGCGUCAUUCCUCUGCAUCUUGCCAGUUUGACAACAUUCGGAGUUAAGAUUUCUCUCCCUCGUGCGCCUUGAGUGAACUGUUGCCCUGAGCAACUUUACCAAUGUAGAGUGUUGUGAUGCGAAAUUAAACAAAAGGUUUCGUGUGUGUGCAUCAACUUUUCUUCUUUGCUUUGGACUACAAAGGUGCAUUUUCUCAGUCUGUGCUCCACAGCUGGCUACGAUUGACGAGCCAUGGAACGCUGAUUAUUUCAAAUGCAGGACUGGAUGUUUGCUGUUUGAGUACCUUUAAUGUAAAGUUGUUCAUGAAGAAAAAACAAACAAAUAAACAAGAGAAUCAGGUUUUUUUUUAUAAUUUACGUGUAACCAUUAACUUGUAUAUUUGAAAUGAAAUCUCUGCAAGGGAUCAGAUUGUUGCUAUUGAGAAGACAAGAAUGUAUGAAAUGAGUGAUAAUGAACUUCAUAAGUGGGUGCAAACAUGAUUUUACUGACCAAUCAAUGAGUAUUUACUUUUAUUUUUCCACCUUUACUCAUGUCUGAACAUUACUUAUUUCUUUGUUUUGUGUCUUGUCAAAUUUCAUUAAGCUGUGGUGUUUUAUAAUCCGUUUGCAUAUUUAUUUCAUAGGACAUUAAUUAAAUGCUGGAUACAAUGUUUUCAAUAAACAAAUGAUUACCGA